rnacentral:rRNA from 1 species
UACGUAGGGACCAAGCGUUGUUCGGAAUUACUGGGCGUAAAGGGCGCGUAGGCGGCCUUCUAAGUCGAACGUGAAAUCCCCGGGCUCAACCCGGGAACUGCGUCCGAUACUGGAAGGCUUGAAUCCGGGAGAGGGAUGCGGAAUUCCAGGUGUAGCGGUGAAAUGCGUAGAUAUCUGGAGGAACACCGGUGGCGAAGGCAGCAUCCUGGACCGGUAUUGACGCUGAGGCGCGAAAGCCAGGGGAGCAAACGGG